GAUGAAGAACGUAGCGAAAUGCGAUACUUGGUGUGAAUUGCAGAAUCCCGUGAACCAUCGAGUCUUUGAACGCAAGUUGCGCCCGAAGCCAUCAGGUUGAGGGCACGUCUGCCUGGGCGUCACAUAUCGUUGCCCAAUGCCUAUUGCAGUGCAAUAGGAAUUUCUAGGGCGAAUGAUGGCUUCCCGUGAGCGUUGUUGCCUCGCGGUUGGUUGAAAAUCGAGUCCUUGGUAGGGUGUGCCAUGGUAGAUGGUGGUCGAGUUAGAACGAUACCGAUCAUGUGCAUGCUCCCCAAAAUAUGGCCUCUAUGACCCACACGCGUCUUGUGACGCUCAUGACGAGACCUCAGGUCAGGCGGGGCUACCCGCUGAAUUUAAGCAUAUCAAUAAGCGGAGGA
rnacentral:misc_RNA from 1 species